rnacentral:rRNA from 1 species
GGGUGAGUAAUAUAUCGGAACGUGCCCAGUCGUGGGGGAUAACGCAGCGAAAGCUGUGCUAAUACCGCAUACGAUCUCUGGAUGAAAGCGGGGGACUCGCAAGAGCCUCGCGCGAUUGGAGCGGCCGAUAUCAGAUUAGCUAGUUGGCGGGGUAAAAGCCCACCAAGGCGACGAUCUGUAGCUGGUCUGAGAGGACGACCAGCCACACUGGAACUGAGACACGGUCCAGACUCCUACGGGAGGCAGCAGUGGGGAAUUUUGGACAAUGGGCGAAAGCCUGAUCCAGCAAUGCCGCGUGCAGGAUGAAGGCCUUCGGGUUGUAAACUGCUUUUGUACGGAACGAAACGGUCUGCCUUAAUACGGUGGGCUAACGACGGUACCGUAAGAAUAAGCACCGGCUAACUACGUGCCAGCAGCCGCGGUAAUACGUAGGGUGCGAGCGUUAAUCGGAAUUACUGGGCGUAAAGCGUGCGCAGGCGGUUAUAUAAGACAGAUGUGAAAUCCCCGGGCUCAACCUGGGACCUGCAUUUGUGACUGUAUAGCUAGAGUACGGUAGAGGGGGAUGGAAUUCCGCGUGUAGCAGUGAAAUGCGUAGAUAUGCGGAGGAACACCGAUGGCGAAGGCAAUCCCCUGGACCUGUACUGACGC